rnacentral:misc_RNA from 1 species
UUAAUUUUAUUCAAAUUAAGAAUAUUUUCAUACAAGAUUGGAAAAUCAGGUUUGAUUUGGUGCCGUCGGCAGGCUGACGUCCGGCCAGAAACUGACCGGCCCGCUGCCGAAGCAGAAGAUUCUAAUUCACAGGAGGUUUGAACUCUGACCUCGCAACCGUCUUGCGACGACCGCGAGAUGCAAAGCUUGUCAAAGGACAUUUGGUAAUGAUCCUUCCGCAGGUUCACCUACGGAAA